AUUGAACGCUGGCGGCAGGCCUAACACAUGCAAGUCGAGCGAGUGGCGGACGGGUGAGUAAUGCCUGGGAAACUGGCUUAUGGAGGGGGAUAACUACGGGAAACGGUAGCUAAUACCGCAUACCAUCGGAUGUGCCCAGGUGGGAUUAGGUAGUUGGUGGGGUAAAGGCUCACCUAGCCGACGAUCCCUAGCUGGUCUGAGAGGAUGACCAGCCACACUGGAACUGAGACACGGCCCAGACUCCUACGGGAGGCAGCAGUGGGGAAUAUUGCGCAAUGGGCGCAACCCUGACGCAGCCAUGCCGCGUGAAUGAAGAAGGCCUUCGGGUUGUAAAGUUCUUUCGGUAGCGAGGCGUUACCUACAGAAGAAGCACCGGCUAACUCCGUGCCAGCAGCCGCGGUAAUAC
rnacentral:rRNA from 1 species